CAUGACCUGUGCAAGAUGUAACCAUGGGUUCUGCUGGCGCUGCCUCAGGUCCUGGAAGCCAAGCCACAAGGACUACUACAACUGCUCUGCCAUGGUAAGCAAAGCAGCUCGCCAGGAGAAGCGGUUUCAGGACUAUAACGAGAGGUGUACCUUCCACCACCAGGCCCGGGUGAGCUUGGUCAGCGGGUGGAUCAUCAGAGGGCUGGGUGACUGCACUGGAGCCCAGGGGCAGCUUCCUGAAGUGCAGACCUCACGGGCUAUGACAACACUUGCCUCAUACAGGAGUUUGCUGUCAACCUGCGGAACCAGGCCUCUGCCAUCCAUGAGGUGCCUCCGCCCAAAUCCUUCACCUUCCUGCAAGACGCCUGCCGGGCCCUCGAGCAGGCUCGAAAGGUUGUACAGUGGGGGAGCAGGAAGGGAAGCGUGUGCCAAGGGGGCUGAGUGGACUUGGGUGCUUUCACCUGACUGCCUUGGAUGGAGAAACCCCGAAGAGGGGAGGGGAGGUGGAGGCUCACAAACUGCACGACGGCCAGAUGGUCUGGCUCUCAGGAAUCAUCAGGGGGAAGGAUGCUAGACCCGAGGCCUGGUAGCCUCUGCUCUGCUGCUCCUCAGACCCUCCUGUCUCCUUGUCAGGACUUCCGGGUCGGGCUGCAGAGUCCCUCAGUAGAGACCCGGGAGGUGAAAGGGUCCAACGUGCCCAGUGACCAGCCCCAGGGCUCCUCAGGACUGGAAGUGGAAGACGAGGAGGAAGAAGAGGAAGAGGAGGAGGAGGAGGAUGUACCUGAGUGGCAGCACGAGUUUGAUGAGGAACUAGACAAUGACAGCUUCUCCUACGAUGAGGAGUCUGAGAACCUGGACCGAGAGACCUUCUUCUUUGGCGAUGAAGAUGACGAUGAUGAGUCCUAUGACUGAGGGGGAGGGGCAGGAAACACCUGGAGCUGCCGGGGCAGCAGGGCCACGGGGCUGUCAUGUGAGAGGGGAACCCCAGUGUCUGAAGCACCUUCUGUUUACUGAAUAAACUCUUUUUUCACA
rnacentral:lncRNA from 1 species